rnacentral:rRNA from 1 species
UACGAGGGGGGCAAAUGUUGUUCGGAAUUACUGGGCGUAAAGGGCGCGUAGGCGGCCGUUUGCGUCGGAUGUGAAAGCCCGGGGCUCAACCUCGGAACGGCAUUCGAUACGGGACGGCUGGAGACCGGGAGAGGAGAGUGGAAUAGCCAGUGUAGAGGUGAAAUUCGUAGAUAUUGGCUGGAACACCGGUGGCGAAAGCGGCUCUCUGGCCCGGUUCUGACGCUGAGGCGCGAAAGCGUGGGGAGCAAACAGG